rnacentral:lncRNA from 1 species
CUAGUUCUACAUGUCAGGUUUGUGGAAAUGAUUCCUGUGUAAAAAGAUUAAAAAAAAAAAAAGAAGAAGUGGAGCCAUAAUGCAAAGAAAGUGGGGGAAAUCUCAUCAAAUGAUCUCUCAGUAAAAGGGCACCCAGUUCACUGUGGAAGAGGGAUGGUGAGAGAGAAUGCUUGUAUAUUUCCCAACUGUGAAGAGAAUGCUUUAUGAGGAAAUGGCUGUUUUUUGUCAUCACUUGCUGGGCUAGAUCAGGUCCUCUUCUAUGACUUUUUAAAGACCUCUGUUCACACAGCUGCUUUGGCAAGUCAGGAAUCAAACUGACAGCCCAUUGGAAAGGCAUACCCUGUCACAAGUCUAAAGAGAAACAGAGUGACAGUUCCCAGGCUCAAGUGCAAGGCGCGCCGCUCAAUCUUCUUUGGCUGGCUAGGAUCUUGGUUGAUGCAGGGCGCCGAUGCCAGACAGCAGAGGGCCUGGAGUAACAAAAACAACGCCCCGCAAGUGUGAUAUGGAUCAAUGUUGGGCUCUGCUCCACGUCGUCACUCAGGGAGCCUGGCUUAUUCCCUUGUGUCACUCCACUAUCUUCUGGGACUUUGUUUCCCUCUGCAUUCAGCUACACAUAUGGGGAAAGUGAGAAAAUGUGGAGAAAGCAUACCCACUCUUAACUGCAUUCCCCGGAGGUGAUGCAGGUCACUUCUAUUUACAUUUCAUUGGCUGGAACUCAGUCCAGUGAUUCCUUCUAACUGCGGGGGAGGCUGGGAAAUGUAGUUUGGUGGUGGGACCAGAAGAAGCAGAGAGCUCUCUGCCACAAUGUGCAAUCAUUUUCAAAUAAAUAUAAAGAAAUAAAAUGGGCUUGAUGC